UGGGGAAUUUUGGACAAUGGGGCAACCCUGAUCCAGCAAUGCCGCGUGUGUGAAGAAGGCCUUCGGGUUGUAAAGCACUUUUGUCCGGAAAGAAAUGGCCUGGGAUAAUACCUCGGGUCGAUGACGGUACCGGAAGAAUAAGCACCGGCUAACUACGUGCCAGCAGCCGCGGUAAUACGUAGGGUGCGAGCGUUAAUCGGAAUUACUGGGCGUAAAGCGUGCGCAGGCGGUUUUGUAAGACAGGCGUGAAAUCCCCGAGCUCAACUUGGGAAUGGCGCUUGUGACUGCAAGGCUAGAGUAUGUCAGAGGGGGGUAGAAUUCCACGUGUAGCAGUGAAAUGCGUAGAGAUGUGGAGGAAUACCGAUGGCGAAGGCAGCCCCCUGGGACGUCACUGACGCUCAUGCACGAAAGCGUGGGGAGCAAACAGGAUUAGAUACCCUGGUAGUCCACGCCCUAAACGAUGUCAACUAGUUGUUGGGGAUUCAUUUCUUCAGUAACGUAGCUAACGCGUGAAGUUGACCGCCUGGGG
rnacentral:rRNA from 1 species